CCUCGACCUCUUCAUCCAUAAAGCUUGUUGAGACCAAGGCACACCCAUUCGUUUAAGAUGGCUGAUGAGAGUGAGGCUGAUAUUAGACAGGAAAUAUCAAAUAUACCACUGGGCCAGCUUCAAGAUCUUAGACAGAAAGUGGGGACAAAGAAAUUUGACAAUACAUUUCAAAAGCACUUAAGAGUACAGGACAAUGAUAAUAAAGAUUUUAAAAGGACAAGCAAGAAUAGGCCCUGAGAAAUGUCAUCAAAGAAGCGUGUUAGUAGAUUUAAACAAGUUAUACAAGUCCCUAAAAAGGAGAAGAGAAUGGAUCCUCGUUUUGAUGAAAGGUGUG